rnacentral:rRNA from 1 species
GCAAAGAACUUGAAGAGAGAGUUCAAGAGUACGUGAAACUGCUCAGAGGCAAACGGGUGGGCCCUCGAAAUCCCAUUGCGGAGAGAUUCAGUCGGCGCCCGGGCGGGCGUAUGCGGUCGCCGGACCCGAAGAGGUCGUGCGCCGCGACGCGGUCCGCUCUCGGUUCCGACGCACUUCUCUCCGCACCGAGGACGCCGCGACGGAUCGGGUAGCAGCGAGAGUCGGCCUUGAGGCGAUCCGGGCAGGUGGCCGGUGCCUGCGGACUCGUUUCCGCACGCCGGUUAUUCACCGGUCUUCGUCAGCGUGGCGCGACACCCGAUCGAGGUCAAAGUUUCCCCGUGCGGGGAACCGAUCGUCUCCGUCCUCCAAAGGGCGCGGCGCACCGUGCCAGUGAGCACCGGCGUUAGUCGAACCACUCCCCGCAGUGGCCGACGCGUCGGCGGCCGUCGUUGGGCUGCGGGCAAGGCCGCCGUGCGAGACGGAAGGUCGGCGGCGAGUAGGUCGGUCACCCACCCGACCCGUCUUGAAACACGGACCAAGGAGUCUAACAUGUGCGCGAGUCGCAGGGUCUUGAACAGGCCCGGGGGCGCAAUGAAAGUGAAGGCGACGUCACGUCGUCGAGUUGGGACCCCCGAUCCUCCGCGGUCGGGGAGCACCAACGACCCGUUCCUUCCGGUCCGCCGGUGGAGCGGAGUCUGAGCGCACACGUUGGGACCCGAAAGAUGGUGAGCUAUGCCUGGGCAGAACGAAGCCAGAGGAA